rnacentral:rRNA from 1 species
UACGUAGGGUGCAAGCGUUUAAUCGGAAUUACUGGGCGUAAAGCGUGCGCAGGCGGCUAUGCAAGACAGAUGUGAAAUCCCCGGGCUUAACCUGGGAAUGGCAUUUGGGACUGCAAGGCUUGAGUGCGGCAGAGGAGACUGGAAUUCCUGGUGUAGCAGUGAAAUGCGUAGAUAUCAGGAGGAACACCGAUGGCGAAGGCAAUCCCCUGGACCUGUACUGACGCUCAUGCACGAAAGCGUGGGGAGCAAACAGG